AAGUCGUAACAAGGUCUCCGUUGGUGAACCAGUGGAGGGAUCAUUACUGAGUACUACACUCUCUACCCUUUGUGAACUAUUAUACCUGUUGCUUCGGCGGCGCCCGCAAGGGUGCCCGCCGGUCUCAUCAGAAUCUCUGUUUUCGAACCCGACGAUACUUCUGAGUGUUCUUAGCGAACUGUCAAAACUUUUAACAACGGAUCUCUUGGCUCCAGCAUCGAUGAAGAACGCAGCGAAACGCGAUAUGUAAUGUGAAUUGCAGAAUUCAGUGAAUCAUCGAAUCUUUGAACGCACAUGGCGCCUUCCAGUAUCCUGGGAGGCAUGCCUGUCCGAGCGUCGUUUCAACCCUCGAGCCCCUGUGGCCCGGCGUUGGGGAUCUGCCACGGCAGGCCCCUAAAACCAGUGGCGGACCCGAAGGGCCCUCUCCUUUGCGCAGUAGCAUUCGCCUCGCAUCGGGAGUCCUCGGCGUCCUGCCUCUAAACCCCCACAAGCCCGCUUCGGCGGCACCAAGGUUGACCUCGGAUCAGGUAGGAAUACCCGCUGAACUUAA
rnacentral:rRNA from 1 species